UCCGGUUUGUCACCGGCAGUCUCAUUAGAGUGCCCAACUGAAUGUAGCAACUAAUGACAAGGGUCGCGCUCGUUGCGGGACUUAACCCAACACCUCACGGCACGAGCUGACGACAGCCAUGCACCACCUGCGCAGAAGUCCCUUGCGGGAGGUCCUCGCUUUCACGAAGAUUUCCUCUGCAUGUCAAGCCCAGGUAAGGUUCUUCGCGUUGCCUCGAAUUAAACCACACGCUCCGCUGCUUGUGCGGGCCCCCGCCUAUUCCUUCGAGUUUUAACCUUGCGGCCGUAGUCCCCAGGCGGUGCACUUAAUGCGUUAGCUGCGGCACCGCAGGGGUCAAUACCCGCGACACCUAGUGCUCAUCGUUUACAGCGUGGACUAC
rnacentral:misc_RNA from 1 species